rnacentral:rRNA from 1 species
CAGCAGCCGCGGUAAUACGAUGGGGGCUAGCGUUGUUCGGAUUUACUGGGCGUAAAGGGCGCGUAGGCGGACUGAUAAGUCAGGGGUGAAAUCCCAAGGCUCAACCUUGGAACUGCCUUUGAUACUGUUUGUCUUGAGUUCGAGAGAGGUAAGUGGAACUGCGAGUGUAGAGGUGAAAUUCGUAGAUAUUCGCAAGAACACCAGUGGCGAAGGCGGCUUACUGGCUCGAUACUGACGCUGAGGCGCGAAAGCGUGGGGAGCAAACAGGAUUAGAUACCCCGGUAGUCCCUGUCUCUUAUAC